AACGAACGCUGGCGGCAUGCCUAACACAUGCAAGUCGAACGAGAUCUUCGGGUCUAGUGGCGCACGGGUGCGUAACGCGUGGGAAUCUGCCCUUUGGUUCGGAAUAACAGUUGGAAACGACUGCUAAUACCGGAUGAUGACGAAAGUCCAAAGAUUUAUCGCCAGAGGAUGAGCCCGCGUAGGAUUAGCUAGUUGGUGGGGGAAAGGCGCACCAACGCGACGAUCGUUAGCUCGUCUGAGAGGAGGAUCAGCCACACUGGGAAGUAGACACGGCCCAGACUCCUACGGGAGGCAGCAGUGGGGAAUAUUGGACAAUGGGCGAGAGCCUGAUCCAGCAAUGCCGCGUGAGUGAUGAAGGCCUUAGGGUUGUAAAGCUCUUUUACCCGGGAUGAUAAUGACAGAACCGGGAGAAUAAGCUCCGGCUAACUCCGUGCCAGCCGCCGCGGUAAGAC
rnacentral:rRNA from 1 species